rnacentral:rRNA from 1 species
AUUGAACGCUGGCGGCAUGCCUUACACAUGCAAGUCGAACGGCAGCACGGGAGCAAUCCUGGUGGCGAGUGGCGAACGGGUGAGUAAAGUAUCGGAACGUGCCCAGUCGUGGGGGAUAACGUAGCGAAAGUUACGCUAAUACCGGAUACGAUCUAUGGAUGAAAGCGGGGGAUCGCAAGACCUCGCGCGAUUGGAGCGGCCGAUAUCAGAUUAGGUAGUUGGUGGGGUAAAGGCUCGCCAAGCCGACGAUCUGUAGCUGGUCUGAGAGGACGACCAGCCACACGGGGACUGAGACACGGCCCAGACUCCUAGGGGAGGCAGCAGUGGGGAAUUUUGGACAAUGGACGAAAGCCUGAUCCAGCCAUGCCGCGUGCAGGAUGAAGGCCUUCGGGUUGUAAACUGCUUUUGUACGGAACGAAAAGGUUUGGCCUAAUAAGCUGAGCUCAUGACGGUACCGUAAGAAUAAGCACCGGCUAACUACGUGCCAGCCGCCGCCGUAA